rnacentral:rRNA from 1 species
AUUGAACGCUGGCGGCAGGCCUAACACAUGCAAGUCGAACGAGUGGCGGACGGGUGAGUAAUGUCUGGGAAACUGCCUGAUGGAGGGGGAUAACUACUGGAAACGGUAGCUAAUACCGCAUACCAUCGGAUGUGCCCAGAUGGGAUUAGCUUGUUGGGGGGGUAACGGCUCACCAAGGCGACGAUCCCUAGCUGGUAUGAGAGGAUGACCAGCCACGCUGGAACUGAGACACGUUCCAGCCUCCUACGGGAGGCGGCAGUGGGGAAUAUUGCACAAUGGGCGCAAGCCUGAUGCAGCCAUGCCGCGUGUAUGAAGAAGGCCUUCGGGUUGUAAAGUACUUUCAGCGGGGAGGCGUUACCCGCAGAAGAAGCACCGGCUAACUCCGUGCCAGCAGCCGCGGUAAUAC